rnacentral:rRNA from 1 species
ACGAACGCUGGCGGCGUGCUUAACACAUGCAAGUCGAACGGUAAGGCCCUUUCGGGGGUACACGAGUGGCGAACGGGUGAGUAACACGUGGGUAAUCUGCCCUGCACUUCGGGAUAAGCCUGGGAAACCGGGUCUAAUACCGGAUAUGAGCUCCUGCCGCAUGGUGGGGGUUGGAAAGUUUUUCGGUGCAGGAUGAGUCCGCGGCCUAUCAGCUUGUUGGUGAGGUAACGGCUCACAAAGGCGACGAUGGGUAGCUG